UCAUUCGACAGGGGGUGCCCAAGUAAACGGGCUGAGAUCAUACCCAAAUCACCUGAUCCGGGUAAUGCCGGCGUAGGGAAAAUAAAGUCCACACUU
rnacentral:ncRNA from 1 species